GUGGGGAAUUUUGGACAAUUGGGGCAACCCUGAUCCAGCCAUGCCGCGUGCGGGAAGAAGGCCUUCGGGUUGUAAACCGCUUUUGUCAGGGAAGAAAUCCUUUGGGUUAAUACCUCGGAGGGAUGACGGUACCUGAAGAAUAAGCACCGGCUAACUACGUGCCAGCAGCCGCGGUAAUACGUAGGGUGCGAGCGUUAAUCGGAAUUACUGGGCGUAAAGCGUGCGCAGGCGGUUUUGUAAGAUCGAUGUGAAAUCCCCGGGCUCAACCUGGGAACUGCAUUGGUGACUGCAAGGCUGGAGUGCGGCAGAGGGGGAUGGAAUUCCGCGUGUAGCAGUGAAAUGCGUAGAUAUGCGGAGGAACACCGAUGGCGAAGGCAGUCCCCUGGGCCUGUACUGACGCUCAUGCACGAAAGCGUGGGGAGCAAACAGGAUUAGAAACCCUGGUAGUCC
rnacentral:rRNA from 1 species